rnacentral:rRNA from 3 species
AGAGUUUGAUCCUGGCUCAGGACGAACGCUGGCGGCGUGCUUAACACAUGCAAGUCGAGCGAUGAAACUUCCUUCGGGAAGUGGAUUAGCGGCGGACGGGUGAGUAACACGUGGGUAACCUGCCUCAAAGUGGGGGAUAGCCUUCCGAAAGGAAGAUUAAUACCGCAUAAUAUAAGAGAAUCGCAUGAUUUUCUUAUCAAAGAUUUAUUGCUUUGAGAUGGACCCGCGGCGCAUUAGCUAGUUGGUAAGGUAACGGCUUACCAAGGCAACGAUGCGUAGCCGACCUGAGAGGGUGAUCGGCCACAUUGGAACUGAGACACGGUCCAGACUCCUACGGGAGGCAGCAGUGGGGAAUAUUGCGCAAUGGGGGAAACCCUGACGCAGCAACGCCGCGUGGGUGAUGAAGGUCUUCGGAUUGUAAAGCCCUGUUUUCUAGGACGAUAAUGACGGUACUAGAGGAGGAAGCCACGGCUAACUACGUGCCAGCAGCCGCGGUAAUACGUAGGUGGCGAGCGUUGUCCGGAUUUACUGGGCGUAAAGGGUGCGUAGGCGGAUGUUUAAGUGGGAUGUGAAAUCCCCGGGCUUAACCUGGGGGCUGCAUUCCAAACUGGAUAUCUAGAGUGCAGGAGAGGAAAGCGGAAUUCCUAGUGUAGCGGUGAAAUGCGUAGAGAUUAGGAAGAACACCAGUGGCGAAGGCGGCUUUCUGGACUGUAACUGACGCUGAGGCACGAAAGCGUGGGUAGCAAACAGGAUUAGAUACCCUGGUAGUCCACGCCGUAAACGAUGGAUACUAGGUGUAGGGGGUAUCAACUCCCCCUGUGCCGCAGUUAACACAAUAAGUAUCCCGCCUGGGGAGUACGGUCGCAAGAUUAAAACUCAAAGGAAUUGACGGGGGCCCGCACAAGCAGCGGAGCAUGUGGUUUAAUUCGAAGCAACGCGAAGAACCUUACCUGGACUUGACAUCCCUUGCAUAGCCUAGAGAUAGGUGAAGCCCUUCGGGGCAAGGAGACAGGUGGUGCAUGGUUGUCGUCAGCUCGUGUCGUGAGAUGUUAGGUUAAGUCCUGCAACGAGCGCAACCCUUGUUAUUAGUUGCUACCAUUAAGUUGAGCACUCUAAUGAGACUGCCUGGGUAACCAGGAGGAAGGUGGGGAUGACGUCAAAUCAUCAUGCCCCUUAUGUCCAGGGCUACACACGUGCUACAAUGGUAGGUACAAUAAGACGCAAGACCGUGAGGUGGAGCAAAACUUAUAAAACCUAUCUCAGUUCGGAUUGUAGGCUGCAACUCGCCUACAUGAAGCUGGAGUUGCUAGUAAUCGCGAAUCAGAAUGUCGCGGUGAAUACGUUCCCGGGCCUUGUACACACCGCCCGUCACACCAUGAGAGCUGGUAACACCCGAAGUCCGUGAGGUAACCGUAAGGAGCCAGCGGCCGAAGGUGGGAUUAGUGAUUGGGGUGAAGUCGUAACAAGGUAGCCGUAGGAGAACCUGCGGCUGGAUCACCU